UGGGAUUAAAGGCAUGUGCCACCACCACCCAG
rnacentral:piRNA from 1 species